rnacentral:rRNA from 1 species
AUUGAACGCUGGCGGCAGGCCUAACACAUGCAAGUCGAGCGGAUGAAGGGAGCUUGCUCCUGGAUUCAGCGGCGGACGGGUGAGUAAUGCCUAGGAAUCUGCCUGGUAGUGGGGGAUAACGUCCGGAAACGGGCGCUAAUACCGCAUACGUCCUGAGGGAGAAAGUGGGGGAUCUUCGGAUCUCACGCUAUCAGAUGAGCCUAGGUCGGAUUAGCUAGUUGGUGGGGUAAAGGCCUACCAAGGCGACGAUCCGUAACUGGUCUGAGAGGAUGAUCAGUCACACUGGAACUGAGACACGGUCCAGACUCCUACGGGAGGCAGCAGUGGGGAAUAUUGGACAAUGGGCGAAAGCCUGAUCCAGCCAUGUCGCGUGUGUGAAGAAGGUCUUCGGAUUGUAAAGCACUUUAAGUUGGGAGGAAGGGCAGUAAGUUAAUACCUCUGUUUUGACGUUACCAACAGAAUAAGCACCGGCUAACUUCGUG